rnacentral:rRNA from 1 species
UACGUAGGGGGCUAGCGUUGUCCGGAUUUAUUGGGCGUAAAGAGCGUGUAGGCGGCCAGGUAGGUCUGCUGUGAAAACUUGAGGCUCAACCUCGAGACGUCGGCGGAAACCAUCUGGCUAGAGUCCGGGAGAGGAGAGUGGAAUUCCUGGUGUAGCGGUGAAAUGCGCAGAUAUCAGGAAGAACACCCGUGGCGAAGGCGGCUCUCUGGGACGGUACUGACGCUGAGACGCGAAAGCGCGGGGAGCGAACAGG